AUCACUUCUCAGCCUUUUGGCUAAGAUCAAGUGUAGAUCUUUCUAAUAUAAAAAUUAAGGAUGCCUGUUAAAUAGAGUUGGUAAUGAGGCAAUACUUUUAGAGUGAAUUUGGCUCAGAGAUACAAAACCCUGGGGAAUCUUUGAAGCUCCUAUUCAUCAACCCUCUUAUAGGAUGGCUGUGGGCAGAGAGGUUCUUUC